UACGUAGGUGGCAAGCGUUGUUCGGAAUUAUUGGGCGUAAAGGGCGCGUAGGCGGCGCGGUAAGUCGGGUGUGAAAUCUCGGAGCUUAACUCCGAAACUGCAUUCGAUACCGCCGUGCUUGAGGACUGGAGAGGAGACUGGAAUUUACGGUGUAGCGGUGAAAUGCGUAGAUAUCGUAAGGAAGACCAGUGGCGAAGGCGGGUCUCUGGACAGUUCCUGACGCUGAGGCACGAAGGUCAGGGGAGCAAACGGG
rnacentral:rRNA from 1 species